rnacentral:misc_RNA from 1 species
GAGAGAGAGAGAGAGAGAGAACCUCCAUAAAGAAAAGGAAAACAUAAGAGAUCAAUCUUUCAAAAAACAAUGUGAGCUAGCAACUCUCAUCUUUAGUUUCAUAAGCAUACGUUUAUUUUUCAUUCAUUUACCAAGAACAAAGAGACCAUCUAUUAUCCUAAAAAGAAAAGGGACAAACAUACCUUUGAAAACCAAACCAAAGAGAUGGCAUUUUACAAGCAAGUUAAGUAAGAACCUUCUCUUUGAUCAAGUCUCCAAGGCAUAAAGAUUCCAAAAUAUUGUUUCAAAGUAAUUUUCCAAGUAAGCUUGUCAUGGUACCAAAGCAUCAUUGAUAUCCUUUCCAAUUCAUGGUGUCAAACAUAAUAUUCUCAAUUACAAUGACAAAACUAUGCUAUGAGUCUUCAAUAUUGAUGUUCACUUUACCAAUAUUCAUAAAAUGCCACAUAAACAUGAUUUCCAAAAAGUGAUCGACACUUUUUCCCAAAAUUAAAGCAAUUGCAAAAUCAGCAUAAAUGAAUAGCCUAUUUCACAAGGACUGCAAAAUGUAGAACACAAAUGACACAUGUAUGAAAAUUACAACUCUAAAUUAAGCCUCCUUUUUUUGGCAAAAAAAAUUUUUUGCCACUGAUUAGACACAUUUAACUACUACAAGAUGAACAUCUCUAGACAAGACUUCCUAAUCCCAUAAGAUUCCUCUUUCAGCAAAAAAAACAAAUAUUGCAAAAGUAUACUUCAGAUGAAUAGCCUUAUUCACCAGGUCAGCACAUUUAAACAUGAUUUGCUGAUCUCACAAGGUUCCCAUUUGGGGCCAACAAAAGCUGGGCCAAAAACUUCCUUGCGAUGAAUAUUAAUAGCCUAAUUCACCUGGACAUCAAAAUGCAUUACUGUGAUAUUCUCAUCUAAUAUUCAACACAUACAUGAAAAAAAAAUUCCCAAAUUAGUCCCUAUUUGCUUGGCAAGAGUUCAGAUCUCUGAUAAGACAAUCUAGCCACUACAACAUUAACACAUUCAACAAUGACUUCCUGAUACCACAUAUGCUCCCUUUUGGCAUCAAUCAAGAGUUGGUAAAAUAAAUACUACACAUAGACAAUAUGUGUGUGUGUAUUAACAGUAUGAGAGUUCUUCCCAGUUACAAAUUACAAAAGAAGAAAAAAAAAUUAAUCUAAAAAAAUUGGUAAUCAAUCAUUUCAAAGUCUUUAUCGUCUGCAACAAUGAAAAUCAAUGAAGCAACAUGGCAUCAAACCCUAGCAUAGAAACCAAACAGAUUACAAAACAGUAUACAACCUUGUUGCCAGCAAUUACACAACAGUAUCCAACUUGCUAGCUUGAACUUACAGAUUUAUUUUGUUGCCUGCUCAAUUCUUAUUAGUGGAUUUCCUAUGUUACCAUUGAAUGCCCAUGUUUUCCUGAAUCCUUACCAAUAUCAUCAGCUUAAAAAGUUAAAAAUUCUUUCCUUUCUAAUCUAACAAUGUACAUGAUCCUACUUUAAAACCCUAAUCACAACAAAAACAUCCCACUUCUGAGAAAUGAUUAGAUACUAAACAUUAACAAAAAUAAGUCAUUUCACGAAACAGUCCAGGAGCGAAAACUCAUACCGCGAAAGAAUUUGCCUAUCAAGAUCCAUCUUGAGUGGAAA